rnacentral:rRNA from 1 species
AUUGAACGCUGGCGGCAGGCCUAACACAUGCAAGUCGAGCGGAUGAGUGGAGCUUGCUCCAUGAUUCAGCGGCGGACGGGUGAGUAAUGCCUAGGAAUCUGCCUGGUAGUGGGGGACAACGUUUCGAAAGGAACGCUAAUACCGCAUACGUCCUACGGGAGAAAGUGGGGGAUCUUCGGACCUCACGCUAUCAGAUGAGCCUAGGUCGGAUUAGCUAGUUGGUGUGGUAAAGGCUGACCAAGGCGACAAUCCGUACCUGGUCUGAGAGGAUGAUCAGUCACACUGGAACUGAGACACGGUCCAGACUCGUACGGGAGGCAGCAGUGGGGAAUAUUGGACAAUGGGCGAAAGCCUGAUCCAGCCAUGCCGCGUGUGUGAAGAAGGUCUUCGGAUUGUAAAGCACUUUAAGUUGGGAGGAAGGGCAGUAAGUUAAUACCUUGCUGUUUUGACGUUACCAACAGAAUAAGCACCGGCUAACUUCGUGCCAGCAGCCGCCGUAAUAC